rfam:Brachypodium distachyon strain Bd21 chromosome 4, whole genome shotgun sequence.
AUUAUACCCCCUCUGUCCAACAAAAGAUGUCUUAAGUUUGUCAGAAUUUCGAUGUAUUUAGACAUGACUUAGCGUAUAAAUGCAUUCAAAUUUAGUCAAAGUUAAGACAUCUUUGUUGGAUGGAGGAAGUACAUA